rnacentral:rRNA from 1 species
UACGUAGGCUGUUUAUUAAGUCAGAUGUGAAAGCCCCGGGCUUAACCUGGGAACUGCAUUUGAUACUGGUAAACUAGAGUAUGGUAGAGGGGGGUAGAAUUCCUAGUGUAGCGGUGAAAUGCGUAGAUAUUAGGAGGAAUACCAGUGGCGAAGGCGGCCCCCCUGGACCAAUACUGACGCUGAGGUACGAAAGCGUGGGUAGCGAACA